AUGGUUUAUCUUUGAUACUCCUGUUUUACUCUGUUAAAAUGUAAUAAAGUUAUUUCGUGAGGCGUGUGUUCGUUUCCCGGCUGAUUUUAACAAAGGAACGCUUUUAAAACGUGUGUUUAAGUGUCUCUGUAGCAGAAGACAGCAGUGCAUUGUAUUGUGUUGACAUACAUUUUUCUUUUAUGCCAAAAAUCAUUAAGAUAUAAAGUAAAGAUCACGUUCCUUAAAUAGUCUACCGUAAAUGUAUCAAAACGUAUUUUCUGAUUACUAAUAAGCAGCUGAGGACUUCAUUUGAACAACUUUAAAGAUGAUUUUCUCAAUAUUUAGUUUUUUUUUGCUCCCUCAGGUUCCAGGUUUUCAAAUAUUGUCUGAAAUAUACAAAGCAUACAUCAAUAGAAAGCUAUUUAAUGUGUCUUUCAGAGCCAUGGAGAGUUAUGAAGAUUUCAUCCGGAGACAUUAUCACACCGGUGACGAUGAAGAUGAUGAAGACGAGCCACAGACCCCCGUCUCACCUUCAUCGGUGAUCGUGUUUCGUGGAGCUCGAGUUCUUCCUCCUCUGUUAAACGAGCAGCAGAGAGACGAGAUGAGACGACUGAGAGAGACAGCUGUGAGUCUGAUGAAGAGGAGGAGAGAGGAAGAGUCUCGCCCCGGCUUCACCGACGUGAGCGUCAGGCGACACACAGACAGGAGUGAUGACAUCACAGACUGUGACAUCACCUCGCCUGCUCCUCUGACAUCAACCGCUCACGACGGCCGGUCGACCAAUCAGCUGAGAGCUUCUCCAGACGACGGUUCUCUAGAAAACACGCAGGUCACGGUUCUGUUCGAGGGACACGAGCUCCGCUCUCCCGGGCCGUCCGCCACGAUGACGUCAUCAGGCUACGUGACCAAUGACAACACGGCCCUCAGCGGCCGCUUAGAUGCGACGCGGUCAGGAAGUGACAUCAUCAGUCACGCGCCGGUGGACGGAGCGCUUCUAGAGGAGGAAGAGGAGGAGGAGGAGGAGGUCUCAGCGCCGCUUCUGAAGCCCGGAUCAGCACCGUCUGAACCGCACCGACCCAGCCUUCAGAACCUGCUCAAGCAAUCCCAGGAGUACCGGCGGCGCCAGCGGCUCCUGCGCAGUCAGGCCAGAGCCGCAGAGGAGCACAGCCUGUCCGAUAAAGAGAACGAGGAGCUCCAGCCCAAACAGACGCGGAGGAAGGAGCAGGACUCCAAGCAGAGGUUCAGCAGCGUCCCCGCGCCCAGGUUCUGCCUGAGUCCCGUACGCUGCAAAAAGCGCGGCAAGCUCCCGGGUCCGCUUCGGAGAGGCCCGGCUAAACCGGCUCUGACCGGUCGCCGCGACAACGGGCCGCUGAUGUCGUCGCAGACGGAGCAGAUCGCGCAGCUGGAGCUGAACCUGUCCAGCCUCAAAGCGCUGAUCUCGGACCUGGAGACGACGCUCACGCUCUCCCAGGCGGCCGAGGGCGAGCCCAAACCGUCCAGCGGCUCGUCGUACGACGUGGACGUCCCGUCUGACCUGUGGAAGCAGCUGACCCCCGAGGCGGGAGGUCACGAGGUCACGCCCCGGGUCAAACGGAGGCUCCUGAUGAACGAGGACGAGGCGGGUCUCUCCAGCGCACCCCGAGGGCUGCAGUCGUCUGCGCAGACGCAGGAGGAUCAGGUGACGGCUCUGAUGGAGGAAGAGCGCAGGCGUCAGGAGGAAGCACUGCAGUCUCUCUGUCUGCUGACCGCUGUGGUCAGGGGGUUUCUGACCCGUCGUCUCUUACACACUGAACGUGUGUCAGGUCUCGUCAGGAUCAUCACGGACUCGAGGGUGUUUCUCGGGUCGUUUCAGUCUCAGGCGGUCAGCAGCAGACAGGAGGUCAGUCUUCAGGAGCGGGUCACUCUGCAGCUGCGAGCGGCGCGGUGUGAACUCCACCAGAUCUUCUUCAGCUGCAGCUGCUCCGAGCGGAUGAAGAUGAUCCGCUGCGACCGGGAGCUGAGCAGAGAGCGCCGCCGCUCACACGAUAAUAAAGUGAAGGGCUCUCUCUCCGCCGCCACCAGAAAGUCUUUAGAGAGGAAGAAAGUGAUGUGAGUGAAUCAGGCCCUUACUGACCCCCGCUGGGCCACGCGUGGAAAUACAACCACAGCAGGGCAAACAUGACACCACACACUGAACAUCAUAGAAUAAUACCGUUGCAUAUGAAGGGUUCCAGAGGAAGAGGUUCUCUCCGUCCAGUGAGGAGAAGUGGAACCCGGUGCCAAAGAUCUAUCGAGUCUCGAAGACGACGGCGUUCCGCGGAGCUCGAUGAAGCGAGGACAGACUCGUCUCGUUUCUCUGCUGUUUUUAGAUCAACGUUGCCAAUUAUUUUAUCUGGUUUUAUUUAUAUAUAUAUUUUUCUGUACGCCUCGCAGUUUCGCCGCUGCUUUUCCUGCUGGUUUUGUCUUUGCACACGUCAAUAAAUUGCAUUUUGUCAUUUACACGAAAA